UACAGAGGGUGCAAGCGUUGUUCGGAAUUAUUGGGCGUAAAGCGCGUGUAGGCGGCCUAGCAAGUCGGAUGUGAAAGCCCUCGGCUUAACCGAGGAAGUGCGUUCGAAACUACUGGGCUUGAGUGCCGGAGAGGGUGGCGGAAUUCCCGGUGUAGAGGUGAAAUUCGUAGAUAUCGGGAGGAACACCAGUGGCGAAGGCGGCCACCUGGACGGUAACUGACGCUGAGACGCGAAAGCGUGGGUAGCAAACAGG
rnacentral:rRNA from 1 species